AUUUUAUGUGUUGAGAACCAUGAGGAGUGGGAUCCAUCUUUACUCACUCGGCAGUAAUUAAUCCUCCCUGUUGAUGAAGAGCAUGCUAUCAAUCAUGGAGGUCUGCUACAUUUGAAUAUCCUCUGCUACAUCUUGAGCCUUCCUUAAGUGUCACACAAUAAUUCAUUGGAAGAAACAAGUGCCUUAAAGGUGGAGGAUCUUUCCGAAUUGACAAGAGGAAACUUCAAAGGGAGCACUGCAAACCAUCCAUGCAGAAGUUA